rnacentral:rRNA from 1 species
UACGGAGGGUGCGAGCGUUGUCCGGAAUCAUUGGGCGUAAAGCGCGUGUAGGCGGCCCGGUAAGUCCGCUGUGAAAGUCGGGGGCUCAACCCUCGAAUGCCGGUGGAUACUGUCGGGCUAGAGUGCGGAAGAGGCGAGUGGAAUUCCUGGUGUAGCGGUGAAAUGCGCAGAUAUCAGGAGGAACACCAAUUGCGAAGGCAGCUGGCUACACGAAUAUUGACACUGCUGCACGAAAGCGUGGGGAUCAAACAGG